rnacentral:rRNA from 1 species
AAAUUGAAGAGUUUGAUCAUGGCUCAGAUUGAACGCUGGCGGCAGGCCUAACACAUGCAAGUCGAACGGUAACAGGAAGCAGCUUGCUGCUUUGCUGACGAGUGGCGGACGGGUGAGUAAUGUCUGGGAAACUGCCUGAUGGAGGGGGAUAACUACUGGAAACGGUAGCUAAUACCGCAUAACGUCGCAAGACCAAAGAGGGAGACCUU